rfam:Ciona savignyi cont_8688, whole genome shotgun sequence.
GGGGGUGUAGCCCAGAUGGUAGAGCGCGCGCUUAGCAUGCGCGAGGUACCGGGAUCGAUACCCGACACCUCCA